GCAAAUUAUAUCAACUUAUUUAUUUUAUUUGAGUUCGCUUUUAUCAUGAAUGACUGCCUUUAUUUUCUAGAUUUGUUCAAUGCACGUUAACUAACGCCUUUAUUUGUCAUCAAUUUUUUUUUUCAUCUUCCUCUGCACAAUAAAAUGGGCAACGCUUUUUGCAUUAUAUGUAAUGCAUAUUCAACAAAUCAACAGUAUUUAUUUUUCACGUUCAAUGAACAUACUUGGCGAGCCGUUAAAUGGCACCGCUAAAACUGCGAACUAACCAGCUAAAUUUAUUGAUUUUUAUAGCCUCAAUGAAAAAGUUCCACACCUGCGCCGGCUUUAGUAGCAAUGUAUGCACGAUUGCUCGUUCAUACGAAAUCGAACCGGUGGACAUUAAAAGGAUUCUUGCAGCAAUUGUUGCCCGCUGUUUCCAAGCAUCAAUACAGCCUAUAUUGCUGAAAAUGUUCCUAAAUCUAUUACAAAACAACCAACCCAACAGCGCCCUUACACUGUGCGGGCGUUUCGCUGUAAACCAAUAAAAAACAAUUGAAUUUGUGAGUGCCGGUGCUGUUGUGAAGGGUUAUUCAUGGAUACCACAAAAAGAGAUACAAAACUACAUCAAUGCUGUUGGCAUAAUACUCGCUUCUCUGCCUGAGAAAUAUUGGAAUGCAAAUGAUCACCAUAGUGAGCCGCUGAUACCUAUGUGUCUUCAGUUGGUAAUUGCAUAGUUACCGCCGCGAGUGCGGUUCACAAUGCUCUUUUCCGCAUUUUUUUGGCAUGGUCGUUUGUUGAACCAGCCCACAUAACAGACGCUCAUUUGGCAAGUUCUAUUUCCGUUGCUUGAUAAUGUGCGUGCGCUUUCCAGUACGGGAAGCAGUUAGAGGUGCAAAACUAUCGAUGGCACUAUCGAUAGUAUCGAUGUUUUUUAUUUUUCCCUACUAUCGAUUGUUUUUUGGUCCUAUCGAUACUCCGACAGACAUGUGAUUCAGUAUUUAUUUAAGUUUUAUUUCUUCUUUUCUUUUCAUUUCUCUUAAACAUCCAAGCUGAAAUAAAAAUUUGAUUGCUACUUUUUUAAAAGAGUAAUGUCAAACUUCGAAAUUGACGGAAAACCUUGCAUCUUUUAAAAUACCGCUAAAAACUGAUACAAAUUAAUUUAUACCAAAACUUCCAAUAUUAUAUAUGAACCACUAUUUACUAUUUAAUAAAAGGUAGAUAAAAACCAUUACUUCUCAGAUAAAAAAUGUUUUCUUCUUCUAAAAUUGAAAUUUACCUGAUGAAUGCCUUAUAUACGACGGAGGAUAUCGAAAACCACAAACAUAAAAUUUCAGUACGCCAAAUUUUAUUCCAUUUCAAUUCAUUUCAAAUUUUCAAUAACUUUACUUCUUACUUAACGGUUCAACAAUUAAAAAAAGUGUCCAGCAGUUUACAAGGUUAUCGAAACGUAAUUUCGGAAUAUAUUCUUAAGGAAAUCUUCAUACGAAAAUUGAGCCAAAACCAUAUAAAUACGAUACUAUCGACGAUAUAUCGAUAGUUUUGAAAAUAAUAUCGAAAACUAUCGA